GUAUUAGCUUCAGCUGUACAUAUUCUAAAGUUGAAAUCAUACGGAGAAGGUUAGCAUGGAUCCCACUCAAGAAUGGCAUGCAAAUUUAUGAAACGAUCCAUACUUUU